rnacentral:rRNA from 1 species
UGGCGGACGGGGGAGUAACGCGUGGGUAACCUGCCUCAUACAGGGGGAUAACAGUUAGAAAUGACUGCUAAUACCGCAUAAGACCACAGCACCGCAUGGUGCAGGGGUAAAAACUCCGGUGGUAUGAGAUGGACCCGCGUCUGAUUAGGUAGUUGAUGGGGUAACGGCCUACCAAGCCGACGAUCAGUAGCCGACCUGAGAGGGUGACCGGCCACAUUGGGACUGAGACACGGCCCAA